UACGUAGGGUGCAAGCGUUGUCCGGAAUUAUUGGGCGUAAAGAGCUCGUAGGCGGUCUGUCACGUCGGCUGUGAAAACCCGGGGGCUCAACCCCCGGGCCUGCAGUCGAUACGGGCAGACUAGAGUGCGGUAGGGGAGACUGGAAUUCCUGGUGUAGCGGUGAAAUGCGCAGAUAUCGGGAAGAACACCCGUGGCGAAGGCGGCACUCUGGGACGGUACUGGACGCUGAGACGCGAAAAGCGUGGGGGAGCGAACAGG
rnacentral:rRNA from 1 species